AAUAAGUUGAAUGGCAAUUAUUCCACUAGAAUGUGGUGUGAAAACCUGAAAUCAAGUGUGUGUGUGUGUGUGUGUGUUUUUUUUUUUUAAGUCUGUUCUGUGCCCUGAAAGGGAAGUUAAAAAAAAAAAAAAAAGUUGUGGCAUUUCACCACUCAACCUUCAAAGUGAGAGGUGAAAGACACACACACACACACACACACACACACAGUUUGCAGAGCAAUCUCAACUGUGUUUCCACUUCCUGCUGUGCAGCAGUACCACCAAGAACCUUUGCCUUGGUUCUCAGCUUUAUUUAUUUUGCUUUAAAUGAUAUAUACAGGCUGGCUAUUCAAAAACGGUUCCCCAUCCCCCACCUUUGAAAUCAGUGCUGUGUUGAUAUUGAAAUUGAGGUACAUCUCAUCUUGGCAGUGCCUUGGUUAGUUUACCACUUAGGUGGCCAUGUAAAUUCCUUAAAUUCAAAUGCAGCCCUUUUAAGGCCCACAGGGACAAGACGUUGAGAGAAGAGAAACAGCCCUAUCAGCCUCGAAGUGAACAGGAGAGUGCUCCCUGGCACAAGGUAGUGUCUGAACCUGGCCAGAGGAAAACUCAGCCCAGAAAUGUGUACAGCGGGAAGGGGAGCACUGUGGGAGCGGCUCCUGGGGAUGAGGUCUGCAGUGCAUCUAAAGAGAGUGUUAAAAGUAGAGGGGAGAGUGUGCACUUGGUUGGAGAGCUGGGGUUAGUCUCAGA
rnacentral:lncRNA from 1 species